rnacentral:lncRNA from 1 species
AGCUGGGCAGUGUGGGCAGAGGGCUCUGGGUCCAUCCAGGCCCCGGGUAGAGUGGAGGCCAGGGCUGGUCUGCAGCGCUGGCUGAGGAGGAACCCCUCCCCUAGGGCCAUCAGGUAGGGUGUGGGUGAGGGAAGGAGAGAGCCCUGGCAGGAAGCCGGUGGAGACCAGGCUGGGAAGCACUAGUUUCCUCUUGGCUGGACUGCAGGAAACCCAGCCCCUGCUUCCCAAGCUGCUUCCUGAAGAUAAGGUGGCCUUGAUGGUCUCUUCCUGUUCCCGACUCCCUCCACCCUGCCCUAGCCCCCAGGGGACCCUCAGCUGCACCUCUGGCCAGGCCAGUAGCCUUGGGAGGGGCUAUGGGGGGCUUAACUUCCUGGCCAGAGGGUGCACACAGGCCUGAGGCCAGGCUGGCCCAGACCCACAGACAGCGUGGCCUGAGACGCAGCUCCAGCAGGGCACGUGGAUCUCGCAGAGCGGACUCGGCCAGGGCUGCACGCUCCCCAUGGGCUGGCAGCGCCGCUGCGUUCGUUGCGUUUCCUCACCGCGCUCCCCUUCUCCGCCCACUCGUCACCCCCUCCGCGUUGCCACGACAACGUGUGAAACUAAAAUUCACUUCCCAGUCGCAGCUCCAGAUCCGCCGCAGCUGCCCUCCCCGGUGGUCCGCUACUUCGCCCGCAGCCAAAGGCGGGGCGGCCCCCGCGCCCCUCGGCACCCCCGCCCCGCGCCUGCGGCCGCCCGGCCGCCACCCCC